UGUGUCCGUUUCGCAUUCAAGGCAUUCUUUUUCAAUUUGUUUAAAUUAAUGUGACACUUUACAAUGCAUCGUUAAUGUUUUCCAUUCGCCUGCUGUAAACUUAUUUAUUUCAUCGUUCGUCGAGCAGUGUGCAACGUGCAGCGUGAAACGUGCAAGGGGCAGGCGUCCAUCGACAGGCGAGACGGAUACUUCGACAGACGACAAGCGAAGUCCAAGUGACAAUGUGACAGAUGGAGCUCCCCAAAAAGGGCGAUGGCAUCGAUGCAAUUUAAAUGAAAAUCAGCAGGAGGACAACACAGAAGAGAUCUUGCAGCAACAAUCGUGGAAAACAACCCAUUUUUCUCCUUCUUUGUCCCCUUUAGCGUUCGCCUUUGGUGCGGAGUUCGCUUCCGUUUUCGAUGUCCUGUCGUAGAAAUCACACGCAGCCUCGACACGUGACAGCUAAGGGAUGGGGGACUGAGACAGCGGCACGAGCACGGUAGCGGGCAGCCAUUUUGCGUUUUGUCGCCGCCAUCAUUAUUAAUAUUGCCGGCACAGGACCAAAGGCAGAACCAGAACCAGAACCAGGACCACGACCAGGAGAUGCGAUACUAACUUCCGUUGCGUGACAUUCGUGCUGUGAUUUUUUCGCGAAUCUCUGCCAUUCCCGGCUUUCCUUUUCGAUGGCUCUGACAAUUUUGAUUGUUGUACCGACUGAAUGGGAGAUGUCCUGGUCUGUUGCUGCUCUGGGUCCAGGACAGCAGUCGAAACAGGUGUGGCCGUCAACUGGCAAUCAACUUUCAUUUAGCAGCAUCAUUUGUCACGCUUGUUUAUUGCCCGGUUACGUGUUGGCCACACUUAAUGGCUGUUAUUGUCCUUCCUGACAGAGGGGACAUCAGACCAGGCAAGGCAGGACCAGACAAGACAAGAAGGCACCAGACAAGACAAGACAAGACGAGACGAGACAAGGCAGAACGUAUUGUAGAGGUCCGGGCUAAGGCUUU
rnacentral:lncRNA from 1 species